CGGCGGACGGGUGAGUAAUGCCUAGGAAUCUGCCUGGUAGUGGGGGACAACGUUUCGAAAGGAACGCUAAUACCGCAUACGUCCUACGGGNGAAAGCAGGGGACCUUCGGGCCUUGCGCUAUCAGAUGAGCCUAGGUCGGAUUAGCUAGUUGGCGGGGUAAAGGCCCACCAAGGCGACGAUCCGUAGCUGGUCUGAGAGGAUGAUCAGCCACACUGGAACUGAGACACGGUCCAGACUCCUACGGGAGGCAGCAGGC
rnacentral:rRNA from 1 species